rnacentral:rRNA from 1 species
CUACGGGACGCAGCAGUAGGGAAUUUUGCGCAAUGGGCGAAAGCCUGACGCAGCAACACCGCGUGUGGGAUGAAGCUUUUCGGAGUGUAAACCACUGUCAGAGGGGACGAAACCUGACGGUACCCUCAAAGGAAGCAUCGGCUAACUACGUGCCAGCAGCCGCGGUAAGACGUAGGAUGCAAGCGUUGUCCGGAAUUAUUGGGCGUAAAGCGUUCGUAGGCGGCCUGUAAAGUCGGAUGUUAAAGCCCGGGGCUCAACCCCGGUUCAGCAUUGGAUACUUGCAAGCUAGAGUGCAGGAGAGGCAAGGGGAAUUCCUAGUGUAGCGGUGAAAUGCGUAGAUAUUAGGAGGAACACCGGUGGCGAAAGCGCCUUGCUGGACUGUAACUGACGCUGAGGGACGAAAGCCAGGGGAGCAAAUGGGAUUAGAUACCCUCGUAGUC